rnacentral:rRNA from 1 species
CACCAGGUUGAUUCUGCCUGACGUAUGCGCUUGUCUUAAAGAUUUAGCCAUGCAAGCUUGCGAAGCAUUUUGUGAAGCGGCGGACAGCUCAGUAAUACAGUUAUAAUUUACUCGUAGUUAAUAUACGGAUAACCUUGGUAACCUAAGGCUAAUACGUGAUUGAGUUAUUUUAUUGGUGAAACAGAAAUAACUAAAAAAGUCUAACUUUACUACGAUUAAGUUUCUGGCCUAUUAGCUAGUUGGUAGGGUAACUGCCUACCAAGGCGAUGAUGGGUAACGGAGAAUCAGGGUUUGAUUCCGGAGAGGGAGCCUGAGAAAUAGCUCCCACGUCCAAGGAUGGCAGCAGGCGCGAAAAUUACCCAAUUCCUAAUGGGGAGAGGUGGUGAAGAGACAUGAAGUUUUACUUAGAGACUGCACAGUAAAGAAGUGUAGGAUCGACUGGAGGGCAAGUCUGGUGCCAGCAGCCGCGGUAAUUCCAGCUCCAGUAGCGCAUAUAAUAGUUGCUGCAGUUAAAACGUCCGUAGUUUAUCACGAUUACUGUGAGUAAAUUAUAGUUCUCAAAGCAAAUUUGUGAGUAAUUUAGCAUGGUAUAUAGUGAAUAUAGGAACAGAUGAUGGCAAUAGUAUUCAGUAGUAAGAGGUGAAAAUCGUUGACCUACUGAGGACUGUCGGAAGCGAAGGCGAUUGUCAAGUAUGUUUCCGUUAAUAAAGGACGUAAGCUAGAUUAUCGAAGAUGAUUAGAUACCGUCGUAGUUCUAGCUGUAAACGAUGCCUACUAGGUGAGGCCGAAAGGCUGCGCCUUAUGAGAAAUCAAAGUGUACGGGCUCUGGGGAUAGUACGUCGCUCAAGCAUGAAACUUAAAGAAAUUGACGGAAGGACACCACAAGGAGUGGAUUGUGCGGCUUAAUUUGACUCAACGCGGGACAACUUACCAGGACCGAACUUGUGUGAGAUUGGCGAUCUGAGAAGAUUCCCGAGAUUACAAGGAAGGUAGUGCAUGGCCGUUUUCAACACGUGGGGUGACCUGUCUGGUUAAUUCCGACAACGCGUGAGGCCCUAAUAAUUAUAUUAUAAUUAGACGGACAGCGGCAGGCUGUAGGAAGUGGGGCUAUAACAGGUCAGUGAUGCUCCUAGAUGCUCUGGGCUGCACGCGCAAUACAAUGGUAUGAUGAAAUUAUGUAAUGAGAAUUAUUUUUGUAAAUCAUACCGAAGCAGGGAUAAGCUUUUGUAAAUAAGCUUUGAACGAGGAAUUCCUAGUAAUCGCAAGUCAUUAUGUUGCGAUGAAUGCGUCCCUGUUCUUUGUACACACCGCCCGUCGCUAUCUAAGAUGGAUGCAUUGGUGAAAUGGCUGGACCCUUACGGUAAGGCAGUUGAACCUGUGCAACUAAAUAAGAUAUAAGUCGUAACAAGGUAACC